UAUAUGAUCUGUGCUGCUUCUGUUUUUUUGUUGUUUGUUGUUUUGUUUUGUUUUGUUUUGGUCAACUUGUCAGGAGUUCAGGUCAUCUGGGAAGAGGGAACAUCAGCUGAGAAAACGCAUCCAUCAGAUUUGCCUGUAGCAAAUGUAUAGGGUGCUUUCUUGAUUGAUGGCUGAUGCUGCUCCUUGGACAUAUGGCCCUGGGUUGCACAAGAAAGCCAACGAGCAAGCCAUGGAGAGCAAACCAUUCCUCCAUGGUCUCUGCUUUAGUUUCUGCUUUGAUUUCCUGCCUUGGCUUCCCUGAUAAUGAACUAUAACUUGUAAGCUGAAGUAAAUUCCUUCCUCUCCAAGUUGCUUUCAACUGCUAUCUUAUUGUAACAACAGAAAACAAACCAGAGCAUUAUCAAUUUCCAUAACCCAUGAUAAUGAUCUAGGUUUCAUUUCCUAUUCUCACCACAAGCAGCAUCUUUCACAUAAAUAUUAAUCCUGUUAAAUAAUAUUUGUAUUAUCUUGGCAGUAAAUAUCCAUUAUUUAGCCAGUCAUUCGGAUCAACACUAUUACUUUUCCCUUUCCCUUUUACUUUUCUUGGAUUUAAUGAUUUUCUUGCUUUUUAAAACUUUGUCGUCAGUUUUCUAUCCCCAAACCAUGCCCAAGAGAUAACACAUCUCUUACUAUUUGUUUUUGUCAGUGUUCUAUUACUUAUGAAGAGACACCAGAGCUACAGUAACUCUUAUAACAAAAAAGAAAAACAAAAAAACCCAUUUAACUGGGAGCUUGCUUACAAUUUCAGAAGCUUGGUACAGUAUCAUCAUGGGGUGGGGGGAGGGGCAUAGCAAAAGGCAUGGAGAGCGCUGAAACAGUUGAGAGUUACUUCCUUAUUUGCAGGCACCGAGAGAGGGAGGGAGGGGAGGUAGGGAGGGGAAAGGGAGGGAGAGUGGGAGAGAGAGGGAGAGAGAUUAGAUUUGGCUUGGAUUUGGACUUUUGAAAACUCAAAGUUUACCCCGCGACACACCUCCUCCAAGCAAGGCCACGCCUCCUAAUCCUUUCAGAUAGUGCCACUCCCUAAUGUCUAAGCAUUCAAAUGGCACACAGGGGCCAUUCUUAUUCAAACCACACUACGUUUAGACUUACUCUGAGUCCUCUACCUUGAGGCCUCUUCUCUAGAAUCUCCAAGGUCAUGCAGUUUGGACCGACAAUUUUUGUCUAAUGCAGGUAUAGUCUGGAAUCCCCUAUAGCAUCCUGCUUAGUAUUCCGGGGCUUUUGUUCCCUGCAUCUGUCAAUCACCAAACGUCCUGCCCUCCUCUUUUUCCAUUACUUCUUUUGGAGGAACCUUACUGUGUUCAUUUUUUACUGAGAAAAGAGGCAUGGGAAAGGUUUGGGGUGAACAUCAUUUAUGAAAAGUCCAUCUUCUACUCUUAAAUUUAGUUAGGUUUGAUUGAGAAUUGAAUUCCAGAUGAAAUUUUUUUUUCUCAGAAGACAUUGUUGUACCCUACUAAUGAGGAAGUCAAUCAAUUCUUGACUUACAGACACGGUCAGUCCUCCACAUCCAAGGUUUCACGUCUGUGAAGUCAAUCAUCCUAAGAUAGAAAAUAUUCACAAAAGCUGUGUAUGGUGGCACUGGGAAGGCAGAGGCAGAGGCAUAGGCAGGCGGAUCUUUGUGAUUUUGAGACCAUCCUGGUCUGUACAGUGAGUUCUGGGACAAUGAGGGCUAUGUGAAGGGACUCUGUCUCAUUCCACUCACUACCACCCAAAAAGAAAAAGAAAAUAUGGAGAAAAUCAUCUGUGUCUCUACCCCUCCAAUAACACAGUGCAAACCUGUUUAUAUCACACUGUAGUGGGUAGUUUGUGCAUUUAGAAAUGAGUUCAAGUAUGUGAGAGAGGAUGAAUAUGCGACAUGCAAGCACUGUCUUUUCUGUAAGGAAUUUAGGCAUCCUUGCAGGUCCUGAGAGACAAGUAUAAUCUACCCUCCCUGCUCACUCAAAACUUUUUCAUUUUAUCUUCAGUUUCUUAAAUGAUGAAAUGGCAUGGUUCUGAUACAUAUCUUCUGAGCUUGGAACUUUAUAAAUCUUUUGAAUUGAGAAAUUCAUGAUGUUUAAAGCCUUUAUUACUUUUGAUAAUUUUCUCUUCUCCAUUCCCUCCAUUUUAUCUGUUCUCUUUCUAGAAAUCACUCUCUCCUUCCUCCCUAUUCCCCACCCCCACCCCACCUCCCCUUAUCUCCCUUCCUCUCUUCCCUCCCCAUUCUUUCUCUCCCUCCCUCCCCUCAGGCUCUUGCUUUGUAACCUAGGCUGGCCUUGAACUCACCUGAGCUAGGCAGGGUGCUGGAUUCCUGUGUGCUCCUCUGUACCACGUCAGAGGGGAUCUUAUUCAGAUAGUGCCCGUCCUUCCCAGACCAGCUCUUAGGCUGGUGGAUCUGUUUUCCAUCUGUAGCUCCUGGCUUUUCUUGGGAGUCUUCCCCUCUUUGUUUAAUUGGGGUGCCAUUCAUGGUUUCAUAUGUGUAAUACCCAAUGUGUAGUUGCCAAGAGCUCCUUCUCUGCCUGGGGCCAUUUUGCCUUCUAGUUUCAUGACUGAUGGAUGCAUCUCCUCUGGUCUCCAUGAGGACUUUCACUUACUUUAUUAGCCACUUGCUGCUGCCUGAAUUGGUCUUUUAUUCAUCCCCGUAUCUUUCCUCCAAAGCCUUUGUGCUUUGGUAUGGGAUGUUUGCAAGGCUGGCCAGGAGGUCAGGGUGUCAGCUGGGCCUUUGCUGAUUGAUGCCAGCUUUGGUGUUGGGAGGACUUUGCUGCCCAUUUUCAUAGGGGAGUGCGAAACCUAAUGUCCUGUGCUGUAGAGUUCAUUUGUUCGCUUUUACACCAGACCAGGCAUUGCGGUGAAUGUAUUUUACACAUGCAAUUGUCAUGUACAGUAUAUAAAAGCAAAAUACAUGCACACAUAUAUCCACCAGCAAACAAGUAAGUAGGCUUCCCAGAGAAAAGGAAUUCUGCCUCUGUAUAAGAAGGAAGCACUGCCUCAGUUUCCAGCCUGCUGACUUGCCCUACAAAUUUCAGACAUCCUCUCUUGCCCUACCCCCAUCUCUAGCUUCCUCAUCGACUAUAUAGGGCUAAGAUUCUCUAGGUGUCACAAUUAUACAAAUGAAUAACUAACUCAUGGACUCUUGUCUCUGUCUCUCUGUGUGCCUGUGUAUCUGUGUGUGUGUAUAUAUAUAUAUUAUAUAUAUUACAUAUAUUACACAUAUGGAGAGGCAUAUAUAUACAUAUACAUACACACACACACAGGAGCCCUGUCAGACACAGGGAGCCUCUGUUUCCUCUGUAUUUAGGCUUUGCCUCUUCUGCUAGACAGAUUUCUCUACAAAGAUUCUCUUGGUCUCCUCACUGAAUGUGCUGCAAGAGUUUUCCUAGUCUCCUGAUUUUGUUGAGGUACCUUCUGCAUCACACUGGGAAGAUAAUAAGAAAGCAUGAUCCUGAAAAAGAAAGUAAAUUAGCCCCUGAAUUUCAGGUCAUUGGCUUCUAACAUGACACUUAAGACUUCCUGGAUAUUUUAAGGUUUUUGUUUGUUUGUUUUUGUUUUUUAGCAAUUUUUAAGUUGGCACACAAAGCAAUGUGCUUGGUUAUGGCAUUUCAUACAUACUUUGUUCUUUUCAGUCCUCCUUCCCAAUACUCCUCUCCCAUUCUUUGUGCCCAUGAUUGGAUGCCCCCCUUCUGCUUUCACGUAUUCCCCACUGUCUGUUUUGUUCUCCACCAUAAGAUCUCUGCCUCCUCUCUCAUGCUGCCCUUUCUAGUCUCAUUACUUUCAGAGAGUGUGCAUGUAUGCAUGAGUGUGUAUGUGUGUGUGUGUGUGUGUGUGUGUGUGUGUGUGUGUGUGUGUGUGUGUGUGUGUAAUUUAAAAUGUAGGAUCUGCGUAUGAGAUAGUAUGUGACAUUUGCUUUUCUGAGUCUGAGUCAUUUUACUUAACAUAGUGAUUCUCCAGUUCUAUCCAUUUUCCUUCAAAUGUCAUAAUUUCAGUUUCCUUUAUAGAUAAAUAAAAUUAUACUUUGCACUUGGACCACAGUUUAUCUAUCCAUCAGUUGGGGGAAUAUCAAGACUGGCUCCAUUUCUUACCUGUUGUGAAUAGUUGUGAAUAGUGCAAUAACACACAUGGACGUGCAGGCAUCUCUAUGCUAGGACUUUGAGUCUCUGCCCCAUGUGGUAUCACCUGGUUGGAUGGCAGUCCUAUUUUUAGCUAUUUGAAUAACCUCCACGUUGAUUUCCAUACCAGCUACGUAAGGUUACAUCCACCAGUAGUAGAUAAGAGCUCAUCUUUCUCCACAUCUGUGCCAGCAUUUUCUCCACAUCUGUGGUAGCAUUUGUUGUCGAGUUCUUGAAGUUAGUCCUUUUGACUGGAAUGAGAUGACAUUCCAAAUUAGUUUCAAUUUGCAUUUCCCUGAUGGCUAAAGAUGUUGAACACUUACACCUGAUAUAUUUAUAUUUCUACUUUUGAGAACUAUCCCAUCCAUUAGUCCAUUUAUUGAUUAGCAGAUUUGAAGGUUUUGGCUUGGAGGGGGUUAAUUCUUUGCAUAUUAUGAAUAUUAAUGUUCGUCUGAAGCAUAACUUUAGAAUCAUUUUCCUCAUUAUGUAGGCCGUCUCUUUACUCUUGGAAUUGUUUCCUUCCAAGGCAAAAGCCUUUUAACUUCAGUUUUGGCCUGGAAUUAUGGUCAUACCCUGAAGUGCUUUCACUGUGUUUUCCUCCUAUGGCUUCGGUGUUUCAAGGUCUUGUCUUAAGGUCAUUGAAGCAUUGUAAAUUGAUUUUUGUGCAGGGUGAGAGAUGUGGUUCUAAUUUCAUUCCCAUGUGUGUGAAUAGCUAGUUUCCCUGGCAACCAAUUUUGCUAUGUUGGUUUUGUAUUCUGAUACUUUGCUGAAAGUAUUUAUCAGGUAUCAGAGUUUUCUUGUGGCAUUUUCGGCAACUUUUAAGUACAGAAUCAUGUCAUUUGCAAACGAAGGUGCUCUGACCCUAUCCUUUCCUAAUCGGAUCUCUAUUUCUUUCUCUUGUCUUAUUACUCUAGCUAAGAUCUGAGUGCUAUACUGAGUGGAGACUGAGAGCCCUUAUCUCAGAUACCAGAGGAGCACUGCAGGUUUCCCCAAUUAGUAUAAGGCUGCCUCUAAAUCUGUCAUACAUAGCCUUAUUGUGUCCCUAGUUUCUUCCUUUUUAUUGUGGAAUGAUGUUUAACUUUAUCAAGUAACUUUUCCAUCUAUCAAAAUGAUCAUGUGAUUUCUGCCCUAAAAUCUACGUACUUGUUGUCUUACAGUUGUAGGAUAGUUGAUUUAUGCAUGUUGAACCAGCCUUGUGUUGUUUGACAAGACUAUCUUGGUCAUCAGGUAUGACCUUCUAAAUGUGUCUUGAAAGUAUUUGGUUGAAUAUUUUUGUGCCUAUGUGCAUCGAGGAAGUUGGUGUGUGGUUUUCCUUCUUGAUGUUGC
rnacentral:lncRNA from 1 species